UGGGGAAUUUUGGACAAUGGGCGAAAGCCUGAUCCAGCAAUGCCGCGUGUGUGAAGAAGGCCUUCGGGUUGUAAAGCACUUUUGUCCGGAAAGAAAUGGCUCUGGUUAAUACCUGGGGUCGAUGACGGUACCGGAAGAAUAAGGACCGGCUAACUACGUGCCAGCAGCCGCGGUAAUACGUAGGGUCCAAGCGUUAAUCGGAAUUACUGGGCGUAAAGCGUGCGCAGGCGGUUGUGCAAGACCGAUGUGAAAUCCCCGAGCUUAACUUGGGAAUUGCAUUGGUGACUGCACGGCUAGAGUGUGUCAGAGGGGGGUAGAAUUCCACGUGUAGCAGUGAAAUGCGUAGAGAUGUGGAGGAAUACCGAUGGCGAAGGCAGCCCCCUGGGAUAACACUGACGCUCAUGCACGAAAGCGUGGGGAGCAAACAGGAUUAGAUACCCUGGUAGUCCACGCCCUAAACGAUGUCAACUAGUUGUUGGGGGAUUCAUUUCCUUAGUAACGUAGCUAACGCGUGAGGUUGACCGCCUGGGGAGUACGGUCGCAAGAUUAAAAGCUCAAAUGAAUUGAC
rnacentral:rRNA from 1 species